GAUGAACGCUAGCGGCAGGCUUAAUACAUGCAAGUCGUGGGGCAGCAGGUUUGUAGCAAUACAGAUGCUGGCGACCGGCGAACGGGUGCGGAACACGUACAGAACCUUCCUUUGAGCGGGGAAUAGCCCAGAGAAAUUUGGAUUAAUACCCCACAGUAUAAUGAAGUGGCAUCACUUUAUUAUUAAAGAUUUAUCACUCGAAGAUGGCUGUGCGGCUGAUUAGGUAGUUGGCGGGGUAAAGGCCCACCAAGCCCGCGAUCAGUAACUGGUGUGAGAGCACGACCAGUCACACGGGCACUGAGACACGGGCCCGACUCCUACGGGAGGCAGCAGUAAGGAAUAUUGGUCAAUGGAGGCAACUCUGAACCAGCCAUGCCGCGUGGAGGAUGAAGGUCCUCUGGAUUGUAAACUUCUUUUAUAUGGGACGAAAAAGGCUUUUCUAAGUCGUCUGACGGUACCAUAUGAAUAAGCACCGGCUAACUCCGUGCCAGCAGCCGCGGUAA
rnacentral:rRNA from 1 species